rnacentral:rRNA from 1 species
UACAGAGGUCUCAAGCGUUGUUCGGAUUCAUUGGGCGUAAAGGGUGCGUAGGCGGCGCGGUAAGUCGGGUGUGAAAUCUCGGGGCUUAACUCCGAAACUGCAUUCGAUACUGCCGUGCUUGAGGACUGGAGAGGAGACUGGAAUUUACGGUGUAGCGGUGAAAUGCGUAGAUAUCGUAAGGAAGACCAGUGGCGAAGGCGAGUUUCUGGACGGUAACUGACGCUGAGGCACGAAGGCCAGGGGAGCAAACGGG